CCUACGGGUGGCUGCAGUGGGGAAUAUUGGACAAUGGGCGAAAGCCUGAUCCAGCCAUGCCGCGUGUGUGAAGAAGGCCUUCGGGUUGUAAAGCACUUUCAGUGGGGAAGAAAGCCUUGGGGCUAAUACCCUCGAGGAAGGACAUCACCCACAGAAGAAGCACCGGCUAACUCCGUGCCAGCAGCCGCGGUAAUACGGAGGGUGCGAGCGUUAAUCGGAAUUACUGGGCGUAAAGCGCGCGUAGGCGGUCUGAUAAGCCGGUUGUGAAAGCCCCGGGCUCAACCUGGGAACGGCAUCCGGAACUGUCAGGAUAGAGUGCAGGAGAGGAAGGUAGAAUUCCCGGUGUAGCGGUGAAAUGCGUAGAGAUCGGGAGGAAUACCAGUGGCGAAGGCGGACUUCUGGACUGACACUGACGCUGAGGUGCGAAAGCGUGGGUAGCAAACAGGAUUAGAUACCCUAGUAGUC
rnacentral:rRNA from 1 species